rnacentral:rRNA from 1 species
GACGAACGCUGGCGGCGUGCUUAACACAUGCAAGUCGAACGCUGAAGACCUGGCUUUUGUUGGGUUGGAUGAGUGGCGAACGGGUGAGUAACACGUGAGUAACCUGCCCUCUUCUUUGGGAUAACGCCCGGAAACGGGUGCUAAUACUGGAUAUUCACUGAUCUUCGCAUGGGGGUUGGUGGAAAGGUUUGUUCUGGUGGGGGAUGGGCUCGCGGCCUAUCAGCUUGUUGGUGGGGUGAUGGCCUACCAAGGCUUUGACGGGUAGCCGGCCUGAGAGGGUGACCGGUCACAUUGGGACGGAGAUACGGCCCAGACUCCUACGGGAGGCAGCAGUGGGGAAUAUUGCACAAUGGGCGAAAGCCUGAUGCAGCGACGCCGCGUGAGGGAUGGAGGCCUUCGGGUUGUAAACCUCUUUCGCUCAUGGUCAAGCCGCAACUGUGGGUUGUGGUGAGGGUAGUGGGUAAAGAAGCGCCGGCUAACUACGUG